GCGCUUGUAGCUCAGCUGGAUAGAGCAAUCGCCUCCUAAGCGAUAGGUCCCCGGUUCGAAUCCGGGCUUGCGCA
rnacentral:tRNA from 1 species